UGAUUCAUUGAACUUCUUAGACAUGUGGGUUUGCAGUUUCAUCAAAUUUGGAAAAUAAACACCCAUCUUUUCGUGAAAUCUUUGUACUGUCCCCCUAUGCGAUUCCACAGACUUUCUUUGCAGAAUCCCCUGUCUGUAUUUCAGGCACCUCGAAGGUGUUCCCACAGCUCACUUGGGAUUUUCAGCCUUCUCCUUUGUGUGUUUCAUUUUGGAUAGUUUCUGCUGCUACAUUUUAGUCUUUUUUUUCUGUAAUGUCUCAGCUGUUGUAAUUGCACCAAGUGCUUGUUCCGUCUCAGACACUGUGGUUUUCAUUUCUAGAAAUCCAGUUUGAAUCUUUUUUUUUCUUUUUUUUUUUUUUUAAGAUGGAGUUUCGCUCUGUUGUCCAGGCUGGAGUGCAAUGGCGCGGUCUUGGCUCACUGUAACCUCUGCCUCCCGGCUUCAAGUGGUUUUCCUGCCUCAGCCUCCCAGGUAGCUGGGAUUAUAGGCAUCCACCACCAUGCCCAGCUAAUUUUUGUAUUUUUAGUAAAGACAGAGCUUCACUGUGUUGGCUGGGCCAGUCUCGAAUUCCUGACUUCAGGUGAUUCAGCUGCCUCGGCCUCCCAAAGUGCUGGGAUUACAGGCGUGAGCUACCGUGCCCAGCCUCAAUUUGAAUCUUUUAAAAUGUAUUUUCUACAUCUUUACUUAACAGUUGCAAUCUUUCCUCUGUUUUUUUUUUAAGUAUAUGGAAUUUGGUUACAGUUAUUCUUUUAAUGUCCUAUUAACUAAAUUACAUUUGGUUACAGUUACUCUUUUAAUGUCCUGUUAAUUCUGUCAUCUUUAACUAUGUUACUUUUGGGUCUUUUUUUUAUUUUUUAUUUUUAUUUUUUGAGACAGGGUCUCACUGUGUCACCCAGGCUAGAGUACAGUGGCAUGAUCAUGGUUCACUAUAGCCUCAACCUCCCAGGCUCAAGUUAUCAUCUCACCUCAGCCCCCCAAGUAGCUGGGACUAUAGGCAUAUGCCACCAUGCUCAACUAAUUUUUUAUUUUUUGUGGAGACAGUGUCUCACUAAUUUGCUCAGGCUGGCCUCAAACUUCUGGGCUCAAGCAGUCCUCCUGUCUUGGCUUCCCAAAGUGUUGGGAUUACAGGCAUGGGCCACUGCACCCAGCCAUAUUUUCCUGCUUCUUUGCAUGCCUAGUAAUUUUUGUUUGGAUGGAUGCUAGACUUUGUGAGUUUGAGGUUAUUGCGUGCUGGAUAUUUUUGUAUUCUAUAAAUCUUCUUGAGCUUUGUUCUGGGAUACAGUUAAGUUACUUAGGACAGUUCGAUCCAUUUAGGUCUUACUUUUAAGCUUUGUGAGCUGGACCAGAGCAGUGUUCAUUCUAGGGCAAGCCUAAUUUGGCCCACCACUUGAUUUUGUAAAUAAAGUUUUAUUGGAAAAUCACUCCCAUUCAUUUACAUGGUCAAUGUCAGGUUUUAUGCAAUAAUAACAGACUUGAGUAGUUGCGCCAGAGACUUUAUGGCCCACAAAGCAAAAAGUUUUUAGUAUUUAGCCCUUUACAGAAAACAUUUGCCAACCCCAGGCCUUGGGCUAAUCUUCCCCACUGCUGAGGUAAAACCCUCUGGAGUCCCUGAUGCUCCAUGAAUUAUGAGGGUUUUUUACUCUGGUGUGAAUCCUUGGGAUUGUCCCUUGUAACCCUCUUUGUGACUCUUCCCCACUGUGGGUUUGGGUCAUUUUCGCCCAGCUUUGCCUCGACCAGUUCUCUGCUGCACAUCCGAGGGCACCUCUGCAGAUCUCUGCAGCUCUGUCUCCGGCUGCCCUCUCUGCUCCUGUGACCUUGCGGUCAGCUCCAGCUGCAGGCCUCCUCAGACUUCCUCCCAGCAUUGCCCCCUGAACUCAGGGAAACCCCUGGGCUCUGCUAGGGGGUCCCCUCCAUACACAUGGGGACCAUCGGGGAAACCGUAGGCAGCCGGCGGGGCAGUGAUAGACUCACCUCCCUUGUUUCCCUGUGGCCGUCAUGGCUGCUGUCCCGCGUCUUAGUGGCCAUCAUGUCCACUGUCCCGCAUCUUGGAGGCCAUUGUUUCUGUUGUUUGGGAAAGGGGGUAAAUCUGGUUUCUUCCUCCUUUGUGCUUUGAGGUGGAUGUGCCCUGGGCCACCUGAUUUCAGAGAGUCUUUGCCGCGGUGCACGAUGUCCAGUCACCUGGAGCUUGGCAGCAGGUGGCAUGUGCACCUGUCCGCAGCCU
rnacentral:lncRNA from 1 species